ensembl:lncRNA
GCGUAUGGUUUGAGCCGGGGGCUGGAGUGGUGGGAUAGCGAGCCAGGCUCCUGGGCUAAAUUGGAUGAAAUUCUACUGGCAGCAUGUUAAACCAUGUGUAAAAUCCUCACUAUGGGUUUAGAGUGUGAUCCCUCGCUGAAGUCAUUGCUGUGCCUUCUGUUUCCAGUUGUGGUUGGCCACACUGAUUUCUGACUGCACACCAAUCUGAGAGGAAGGCUGCUGUCCACAUCCCCUCAUUACCCACCCCUGCGGCCAGAUUUUUUUUUUUUUUACAUCUAGUUAUCCCCUCUUUUUGGGUAGGCACAAAACUACCUCCAUUCUCCAUUCAUUUAAAAAAAACGGUACCGGUUACCUUCAGAUGAGUCUCUGACACUUGUGGUGGAAGUAGAACUAAACAGAGAAACACCAUGGAGUUUGUGAGACUCUCCCCGUUCCACACAUGGGUGACUUCAGUUUGUAGUCCAAAACGGAUCAGACGCUACAAAACAGAAGUUGGCACAGAUGAGGAAGGUCGCUAUAGGCGGAUGAGGAAGGUCACUAUAGGCGGGUGAGGAAGGUCACUAUAGGCGGAUGAGGAAGGUCACUAUAGGCGGAUGCGGAAGGUCGCUAUAGGCGGAUGCGGAAGGUCACUAUAGGCGGAUGGGGAAGGUCGCUAUGUGCGGAUGCGGAAGG